rnacentral:lncRNA from 1 species
GCACCAGAGCCGUGGAGAGGCACAGUACGGAGGGAGAGAUGAUGAUGAAGAUGGGGGAGGAGAAAUGAAGAAAGGAUGGUUUUUACACCUCUGCCUCUUUCCUUUCAUUUCAUUUGUGUCAUUUGUGUGUCGCAGGCUGUGAAAGCUCCUCCAUGUGUUUUUCAGAGAAGUUACUGAUGGAACGCAUUCUGCUGUUGGCAAUCCUGCCCGGUCUUCUACUAGCUGACCCUGCUAACUUUACAGCUCCAAACACCACUUUAACUGUUCCUAAGACACCUCACACAGCAAGCUCAGCACAUGAGAACAUAAGAAUCACGACACCCACCACUACAAAGCUCCCACCUGAACUGUUCAGGCUGAAGGUGUACUGGGACAAAAAAAAUGUGUGCCAGGGCAAAAUAGUCCAUUUUACUGGUAAAAGAAAGACUAAGGGUCUUUGUGCCAACCCUGCGUUACGGAAACUCAGCAUGGAGCUGUGUGAGGAGAGAAGAUGUGGAAAGUUCCUGGAGUUUUCUUACGAUUUGACUGCUGAUCAUAACGGUCACAUGAUCAACGAUAACCUAAUACCUGGGAGCUCUCAAGGGUGCGAGAUUGUAUCCAAUGUAAUCUGUGAAGGCAACAAUGAACUGCUGACCUAUAAGGUAAUAACAGGCCUGCUGCUGGUGCUGAUUCUGGCUGUCCUCCUCUUUCGAUUUGCACGACCGGCAUACAACGCCUUCCGCAAGAGAUUUUCCAAGAAGCAUCAGAAUCGAUGGAUCGGCCCGACGCAGAGUCAGAGUGUGUCCUAUCACAGAGGCCAGGGUCUUCAUCUAAAGGCCGAUACAGGCAAAAGACAAUCUUAUCCUGGUUUGGAGAUACCUUCAUCAAACAGGAACAGUGAAUACGACUCGUACAGCUACACUUAAUCACCCCUCGGCUUGCGGGAUCACAGCGCGGGAGCAGCAGCGGGCUUUGAUUUGUGUAAACGAUCACAUGAAGGUUUUUUUUCCUUUCCACACAUAUGACCUAUAGCUCUGUGCUGUUGUGCUCAGUGGAAUCGAGGCAAGAAAAAAAAAAUUACGUCAACGCAAAACAAUUGAAACGAUCUAAAAUAUUACAAUUGUGCAAACUGACAAAUAACAAGUUUUGGGAGUUAGUGAGGGUGUUACCCCACACUUAUCUGUUCAUCUGUUCCAUCACAAAUCUGCAAAUCUCUGUAGUAAACAAGUGUCAGAAAGCAAGGUAAACAAUGUUGCUUAUUUAUUUAUUUGCUUGAUUGCUUAAUAAGAGAUUUAUACCAGCAAGUGCUUUACCAAACAGGAUUUCUUGUAAAUGUGCUGUAUAUUAUAAUAUUUAGGUCUCUGAGUGAAGACGUUGCAGUAAAGUCACCAGCAAAACUGUAAUGGAAAUAGAAAAUUACAUAGUAUUAUCUGUAAAAAUGAAUAGAACAAACAGCUUUCGUUAUAUAAUAAGAAACUGAGAAAAAUGUAUUAAAGGAGUGAGAUAAUGUGAUAAUUAGCGUCCAUUCAAUCAGUGACAUGUUACUAUGCUAUUUAUGCUGUUACUAUAUUGUUACUGUCCUGCAAAAACCUUGAAUUCUAAAUGUUGCCACUUUUUACUUUUUGGCAAUGUAAAUCUGGAAGUUGUUCUUUACAUUGUAUCAAAAGUUAAUCUUUUUAUAUCAACUCCUAUUGAAACUGAAGACUUUUCCCUCCUAUUCUAAAGGGCUAUCUUGGAAAUACAUGGUUUUUGUGUGACAGCGACACCAUGCUUGUUGUUUUUUUUUUUUUUUUUAUUACUAGUAUCCUGCCUACAAUUUAAUCUUAAAGAUGAGCCUGUUUAAUAGGAGAGACCAGAGAUGCUACUAGUGGACAGUUGUACCUUAGGUGCAGAAAGCUUGUUGUUUUGUAAAGUUUCAGAAACUGUUUUGUAUAUGAAGUGUGUCUACACUGGCUUUUUACUGGCAUGUUCUGCAGUCUAUUAAGCUUAUUGUGUGUUAAUAAUAACAAUAAUAAGAGAAUGCUCUUUUUUACUCAUGAUUUCUGUUUCUGAUCUUUGGAAUUCCUAUGCAACAGUAGGUUUAGACGAGGUUUUACUGCUACUUUUCUUUAAAGCAAAUCUUUAAUAAUAAAACUUGUUGCAGAAAUUCA